CUUUAUAUACCGUCAUAAACAUUAAUAAGAUGUUUAUGAACAUUAAUAAGACUUCAUGAGUGUUAAUUAAACUAUAAAUUAAUUUAUAAUUGCUUGUAAGAUAUUAAUUAACACAAAGAAACUUGUUUAUAGACCACUUAUCAACGUUCAUAAGAUGUUUAUUGACAUUGAUAAGACUUUAUUAGGUUCAUAUUAAUGCCUUAUAAAGGUUAAUAAAUACUUUAUUAUUCACUUAUUAACAGCUCAGUGGGAACAGGGUCCAACUUUCAAGUAAACGCAGAAACAAAAAGGAGGUCUAUUGAACUUCCACUCAAACAGUUUUUGAAAAAGAAAAA